rnacentral:rRNA from 1 species
UACGAAGGGGGCUAGCGUUGUUCGGAAUCACUGGGCGUAAAGGGCGCGUAGGCGGCUUUAUAAGUCGGGGGGUGAAAGCCUGUGGCUCAACCACAGAAUUGCCUCGAUACUGUAGAGCUUGAGACCGGAAGAGGUAAGUGGAACUGCGAGUGUAGAGGUGAAAAUUCGUAGAUAUCAAGCGGGAACACCGGUGGCGGAAGGCGGCCUUCUGGGACGAU